rnacentral:rRNA from 1 species
UGAGGAAUAUUGCACAAUGGGCGCAAGCCUGAUGCAGCGACGCCGCGUGUGGGAUGAAGGGGCUACGCCUCGUAAACCACUGUAGCCCGGGACGAAAAACGCCUUAGAGGCGUUAGACGGUACCGGGAAAGUAAUGGUCGGCUAACUACGUGCCAGCAGCCGCGGUAAUACGUAGGACCCAAGCGUUGUCCGGAUUUACUGGGUGUAAAGGGUGCUCAGGCGGAUGGGUAAGUCAGGGGUGAAAGUCUGCAGCUUAACUGUAGAAUUGCCUUUGAUACUGCUCAUCUUGAGUGUGGGAGAGGUUGAUGGAAUUCCAGGUGUAGCAGUCAAAUGCGUAGAUAUCUGUAAGAACACCAGUGGCGAAGGCGGUCAACUGGCCCAUAACUGACGCUCAUGCACGAAAGCGUGGGGAGCAAACA